ACGUGAUUGUUCAGCUGACGGACGGCCAGGAAAGGCUUUUAGCUCGGGGCGUCAGGGUGAAUCUGCCGCCGGUAUCUGCGACCAUCGCUGGGGGUUGGAGGAGGAGGAGGAGGAGGCAGCGGCGGAGAUGAGGGCUGUGGUGCAGCGAGUCCUCUCCGCCAGCGUCGAGGUGGAGGGGCGCGUCGUGUCGGAGAUCGGGCCGGGCCUCCUCGUCCUCGUCGGCAUCCACGAAUCCGACACCGACUCCGAUGCCGAUUACAUCUGUAGGAAGGUCUUGAAUAUGAGGCUAUUCCCGAAUGAGAGGAGUGGAAAAGCAUGGGAUCAAAGUGUUAUGCAGCAGAGUUUUGGAGUUCUAUUAGUGAGUCAGUUCACCUUAUAUGGCAUCUUAAAGGGUAACAAGCCAGAUUUUCAUGUGGCUAUGCCACCUCAGAAGGCAAAACUUUUUUAUGCAUCAUUAGUUGAAAAGUUUCGCAAAUCAUACGCUGCAGAUGCAGUCAAAGAUGGCAUUUUCGGAGCAAUGAUGAAGGUUAACUUGGUGAAUGAUGGCCCUGUCACAAUGCAAUUUGAUUCAUCACAAUCAAGAUAUCUGAACCGCAUCUGACUUAAGUUGAUGGAUCUGUUAGGAGUGGUACUUGCGAGGUGGCUGAAGAUGGCAAGCCAUAAAGGACUAAAAAUGUGCAAAGGAUGUCUAUUCAAAAUUGGCGAGCUUGCAGUAUAUGAGCAGCAAUCCCAAUUUAUGCAGAUCAUGAAUUUAAAACAUAUUAUGGAUGAAAGAUAUCUAUUUCCAAUUUUCAAGGUAGAGGUGCUGGAUAAAAGUGAAUAUUGGUCUUUAUAAAGUCUGUGGCAAUGAUUCACCAACAGUGAUAGUCUGAUUGUAUUUUAGUUAAACUCAUGACUGAAAGCUUAUAGCGGUUAAGGGGGAAACUUUUUAUGUCAUUGCUGUAUUUGGAACCUGCACGCUGUCAAAGAAACAGUUCAGCUUUUUAAGACGACUCAGAAGUGCCUA